AGUAUACCUAUCGUUAUUGCGAACGUUAAUAGUGUACACGAUAUUCAAUUGUGAUUAUAACUGUAUACCUUGGCUGGCGGAUGCGAAACGAGGAGUAAAGAGCAUUCUACAAUGUGCGUUGCAAACACCCGUUGCCAGUUGAAACGUUUGUCGCGACAAUCAAUUAGAAGAAUGCCCUUCAAAGUCGCGAGUGGAUUUCGGGAGUGUUGAAAAUUGGAAAUGUCGAUGAUAUGGCUGGCAGAUGCGGAUUGAGGAGUAAAAGUCGCGAGUGGAUAUCGGGAGUGUCGAAAAUCGGGAAUAUCGGAAAAAAUGUUCAAUAUUGAGAAU